rnacentral:rRNA from 1 species
UACGGAGGGUGCAAGCGUUGCUCGGAAUUAUUGGGCGUAAAGGGUAGGUAGGUGGUCUCAUUUGUCUGGGGUGAAAGCCUUGAGCUUAACUCAAGAAGUGCCCCAGAAACGGUGAGACUGGAGUCCUGGAGAGGGUCGUGGAAUUCCCGGUGUAGCGGUGAAAUGCGUAGAGAUCGGGAGGAACACCAGAGGCGAAAGCGGCGACCUGGACAGGGACUGACACUCAACUACGAAAGCGUGGGGAGCAAACAGG